rnacentral:rRNA from 1 species
UACGGGGGGGGCAAGCGUUGUUCGGAAUUACUGGGCGUAAAGGGCUCGUAGGCGGCCAACUAAGUCGGACGUGAAAUCCCUCGGCUCAACCGAGGAACUGCGUCCGAUACUGGAUGGCUUGAAUUCGGGAGAGGGAUGCGGAAUUCCAGGUGUAGCGGUGAAAUGCGUAGAUAUCUGGAGGAACACCGGUGGCGAAGGCGACAUCCUGGACCGGUAUUGACGCUGAGGCGCGAAAGCCAGGGGAGCAAACGGG